rnacentral:rRNA from 1 species
UACGUAGGUGGCAAGCGUUGUCCGGAUUUAUUGGGCGUAAGGCGCGCGCAGGCGGUUUCUUAAGUCUGAUGUGAAAGCCCUCGGCUUAACCGAGGAGGGUCAUUGGAAACUGGGAGACUUGAGUGCAGAAGAGGAAAGUGGAAUUCCAAGUGUAGCGGUGAAAUGCGUAGAGAUUUGGAGGAACACCAGUGGCGAAGGCGACUUUCUGGUCUGUAACUGACGCUGAUGCGCGAAAGCUAGGGGAGCAAACGGG